AGGUCCAUAGUGUACUUGGUAGCACGCUCGGCAUACAUAUGUGAAAGUAAUGCACACGAUUGUGUCGGUUCAAGCCCGUCUGGGCUUA